GUGCACUCUGCCUGCCCAGGCCAGCAUCAGUUCGCCCCGGGGGAUAAAGGUUUCGGGAAUGUGGCUCCUCCGGGAGUGUUAUAGCCCGUUGCGUAAUACCCUGGGACGGACUGAGGUUCGCGCUCUGCAAGGAUGCUGGCGUAAUGGUCAUCAACGA
rnacentral:rRNA from 1 species